rnacentral:rRNA from 1 species
CGCGUAGGCGGAUGUUACAGUCAGGCGUGAAAUUCCUGGGCUCAACCUGGGGGCUGCGUUUGAUACGUGAUGUCUGGAGUUCGGAAGAGGGUCGUGGAAUUCCCAGUGUAGAGGUGAAAUUCGUAGAUAUUGGGAAGAACACCGGUGGCGAAGGCGGCGACCUGGUCCGAUACUGACGCUGAGGCGCGAAAGCGUGGGGAGCAAACAGGAUUAGAUACCCUGGUAGUCCACGCUGUAAACGAUGUGCGCUGGAUGUUGGGUGACCUAGUCAUUCAGUGUCGUAGCUAACGCGAUAAGCGCACCGCCUGGGGAGUACGGCCGCAAGGUUGAA